rnacentral:rRNA from 1 species
UACGGGGGGGGCAAGCGUUGUUCGGAAUUACUGGGCGUAAAGGGCUCGUAGGCGGCCAACUAAGUCGGACGUGAAAUCCCCAGGCUCAACCUGGGAACUGCGUCCGAUACUGGAUGGCUUGAAUCCGGGAGAGGGAUGCAGAAUUCCAGGUGUAGCGGUGAAAUGCGUAGAUAUCUGGAGGAACACCGGUGGCGAAGGCGGCGUCCUGGACCAACACUGACACUGAGGAGCGAAAGCCAGGGGAGCAAACGGG